rnacentral:rRNA from 1 species
GAUGAACGCUGGCGGCGUGCCUAAUACAUGCAAGUUGAGCGAACAGAUGAGGAGCUUGCUCCUCUGACGUUAGCGGCGGACGGGUGAGUAACACGUGGAUAACCUACCUAUAAGACUGGGAUAACUUCGGGAAACCGGAGCUAAUACCGGAUAAUAUAUUGAACCGCAUGGUUCAAUAGUGAAAGACGGUUUUGCUGUCACUUAUAGAUGGAUCCGCGCCGCAUUAGCUAGUUGGUAAGGUAACGGCUUACCAAGGCAACGAUGCGUAGCCGACCUGAGAGGGUGAUCGGCCACACUGGAACUGAGACACGGUCCAGACUCCUACGGGAGGCAGCAGUAGGGAAUCUUCCGCAAUGGGCGAAAGCCUGACGGAGCAACGCCGCGUGAGUGAUGAAGGUCUUCGGAUCGUAAAACUCUGUAAUUAGGGAAGAACAAAUGUGUAAGUAACUAUGCACGUCUUGACGGUACCUAAUCAGAAAGCCACGGCUAACUACGUG